rnacentral:rRNA from 1 species
UACGUAGGGAGCGAGCGUUAUCCGGAUUUACUGGGUGUAAAGGGCGUGUAGGCGGGACAACAAGUCAGAUGUGAAAGCACGGGGCUCAACUCCGUGUCUGCAUUUGAAACUGUAGUUCUUGAGUGCUGGAGAGGCUAACGGAACUCCUAGUGUAGCGGUGAAAUGCGUAGAUAUUAGGAAGAACACCAGUGGCGAAGGCGGUUAGCUGGACAGUAACUGACGCUGAGGCGCGAAAGCGUGGGUAG